GCGCAGCAGUCGAGAAUCUUCGGCAAUGGGCGCAAGCCUGACCGAGCGACGCCGCGUGGAGGACGAAGGCCUUCGGGUUGUAAACUCCUGUCGAGGGGAAGGAAGGAGCGGCGCAGAGCCGUUCUUGACCGCUCCCUGGAGGAAGCACGGGCUAAGUUCGUGCCAGCAGCCGCGGUAAGACGAACCGUGCGAACGUUAUUCGGAAUCACCGGGCUUAAAGCGCGUGUAGGCGGACUGCCACGUCGGGCGCUGAAAUCCCCCGGCUCAACCGGGGAAUGGGCACCGAUACGAGCAGUCUUGAGGGGAAUAGGGGGACCUGGAACUUCCGGUGGAGCGGUGAAAUGCGUUGAGAUCGGAAGGAACGCCCGUGGCGAAAGCGAGGUCCUGGGUUUCUACUGACGCUGAGACGCGAAAGCCAGGGGAGCAAACGGGAUUAGAUACCCGGGUAGU
rnacentral:rRNA from 1 species